UACGUAGGGUGCAAGCGUUGUCCGGAAUUAUUGGGCGUAAAGAGCUCGUAGGCGGUCUGUCACGUCUGCUGUGAAAACUCGGGGCUUAACCCCGGGCCUGCAGUGGGUACGGGCAGACUAGAGUGCGGUAGGGGAGACUGGAAUUUACGGUGUAGCGGUGAAAUGCGUAGAUAUCGUAAGGAAGACCAGUGGCGAAGGCGGGUCUCUGGACAGUUCCUGACGCUGAGGCACGAAGGUCAGGGGAGCAAACGGG
rnacentral:rRNA from 1 species